UUCGGAAAACCCCUUUAGUAAAAGAGGCACUUCAACAUCUACGAUUUAGUACAUGCAUGGGUUAGCGAUGCAACCUUUUGAAUACAAGACUAUACAACUUUCCUUCAUGAUAAAGUUGCAAGCCAACAAGUGACUACACAAUUUAUCAUGAUAAAGUUGCAAGUCAACACAAAAAUACCCGAAAAUAUUAAACCCACCAUUUUUAUUUCCUUUACUAAUCCUACCUUAAACCUUUUCUUUUAUCUUUAAAAGCAUUAUAAUAAUUUUCUAAUCUCAAAACUAAUUUCCUAUGACUUAAUAAUGAUUUGUGGAUAAUAACGCAUUAUUCAAGUUUUAUACAUUUAAUAAAGUUUAAGCAUUUAUUUAAAUACCUUAAACAAAAAGGCAUUAAAUAAAUACCUAAAUUUUUAUUAUUUUUCCUAGGGUUUAAGAAUUUUAAUGCAUAAAGGAAAAUAAAACAAUCCUAAUAAAAUUGGUUUCACUAAUUUUUGACAUUUCUAGCAUUUCUAAUGAAUUAAAUAGUGGUAAACGAAUUUAAGCUAUUAUAACAGAUAAAAGGAAAACCUAGGAUUAUCCAAAACCUCGGCUCAAAACUUUUCUUACCUAGCCCCCUUCUACCCACCACUACUUCCACCUAGGGCCCACAAACCGGUCUCUUUACAGGCAAAAAGGUCUACCCGGCCACCUACUCUCUUCCCCUUCUUCUUACUGACGAGAGGGGCCCACGGCCAACGCCUCUCCUUGGGCCGAAAACGGGCCCGCCAGCUCUCCCCUCCUUUUACGUCGCGUGGGCCAGCUGGGCCGGUACCUUCCCCUAGCCCAAAACAGACGGCUGGCCUUUUCUUUUUCUUUCCCCCCCUUGCGGUUGAUGGGCGGGCCCCCUUGGUCAGGGGCUUCUUCUUCCCCUGGCCAAGGUCGGGCGCACGCCGGCGGGGGAAAAAAAUGGGGCGGGCCUGGCCAACGGCGGCUGAGCCGGCUGGGGCGGCGGCACCCAGGCCAGGCGCACUCGCACCCUGCCCCAGCUCGCUGGGAGGUGGCCCGAGCCGGCCUCCCACGACUUCUCCUUCAUCUCCAACACGCUCGCAGGACGCCACUAGACCCGCCAAUUUGAGAAGAAAUGGUCGGUUCAGAGGCUCACCGCGGGGAUUUCGUGACGGCGGCCGGUGGACGGAAACGGCUGCGAUGCAAGGGCUGGCAGCGACGAACUGGACGACGGGCGGUUGCAGGGCGUUGCGGUGGAGUCAGAGAGGUGGUUGGUCGCUGGUUCACGAGGAGGAAACGGCGGCGCGAAGGACGGCCGGCGACAUGUUGCUCGCUCGCUCGAGCUCUGUUCUCGGCGGUGAAAAGCGGCUGGGUGAAACGGAUAGACACGGGAGCAGUAACAUUACGAUUUUUCACCGUGCAUGAUGUCCAGCUCGGCUCGUGGUAGGUGGCGUGGCACGGACGUGGCCGUCGCGCUGGCCGGCAUGCGCGAGAGCCGGCGACAGCACGGCACUGUCGUCUCUGCUCCCUCUACUCUUUUUUAUCUGCUCCAAACCGACAUGUUCAGGCCUCUAUUGCUCAAAAUUUUCCAUCUCAACUUGUAAAACUCUUUUAAGUAAACUUAGAGUAGUCCAAGUACUCCAUUUGAUAGAUUGGCCUCCAACCGAAAUGAGCACUCUAAGACCAAGAUUUUGAAGCUCGAAGUUUGGCCAGAAUUUGCUGUAACUAAACAUUGACGACUCAGUUUCGUCAGGUCCCUAAACAGGGACUUCUUUCCUACUUUGAGCUUGAUUUAAUUUGCUCAAAUUCCUUCCAUACAGCUUGAACCUUGCCUAUCCUUGUUCUACAACUAAUAAUGAUUCCAUUUUGCACAAGAAACCAUAUAACUUUUACACUGGAUUUUUCUUAAAUUGGCUCCAAACAUUGCUAAUCAAUGCUGUUUUCGAACUUAGGGUUAUUUUGGCAAGAAGCCUGAAAUCUGCUCAUUUGCUGAAUUUGGGCUUCACUUUAAAUUCGAACCUUCCACUUUCUCUGGCCAACAACAUGUCAUUUACCUUAUCCAUAGUCCAUAUUUCACUAAUGUCCAAAAACAUCUGCUCACUUACAAGAACAAUUCUCCAGAAAUUGGCUCCAAAGUUGUGUACUCAAUAUCAUUUUCAGAUUUGCGCGUUUUCGGACGAUGCAUAGUAACUUCAUCAAUUCCAUUUUCGAUUGCAUUUCUGAGAGGUUUAUGACUUGAUUACUUCAAGAUUCAUUCCUUUGAGUUCGGAAUACUCUCAAGACUCUAUUUCAUAUUUUAGCAAAAUUUAUCCAAAUUUGAAACUUCAAAUUGCAAAUUUGGUCGAAUUUGGCUCAAAUUCGAUUUUGGCUCAAAUUACCUUCCUUUAAUCCAACUUCACCAUUAGCUUCUUAAUGUCAUACUUAAGUUGUCGUUAACAUUGGGUGUUACAGCCUCUCCCCCUUAAAAGAAUCUCGUCCUGAGAUUCCCAAGUGCUAAAGCCUCUGCUGGAGAGUGGAAAGGAAACUCUGUCAUACAGACAUCUUUCAUUAUUCUUCAUAAAGAGAGUUGGGAUGGUUGUUUAUCAACAACUGUUUAUCUGAUUUCAAUAGUCUCAAACAACUCAAAAUACUUGGAUUCCAACUACUCUGCCUGUUCCCAAGUGGCCUCAUCUGGAGUGUGAUUUUUCCAUUACACCUUGUAAAAUCUGAUACUCUUAGUACGAGUAUCUCUAGUCUUUUGAUCCAGAAUUUUCAUGGGCCUUUCUUCAUAAGUUAGAUCUAGUUCUAGUUCCACUUCCAAAUCUUUCAAUUUUCUUCUUCUGGGACCCUCAAACAUUUCUUGAGUUGAGAUACAUGAAAUACGUCAUGUAUUGAGGCAAGUUGGUCCGGUAAUGAAAGUUUAUAUGCAACUAGACCUUUCCGUUCCAGAAUUUCAUAAGGACUAAUAUAUCUUGGAGCUAAUUUCCUUGAACUCCAAUUCGGUGCACUCCUUUCAUCGGAGAUAUUUUGAGAUAUACAAAGUCUCCAACACAAAACUCCAAAGAUCUUCUUCUUUUAUCCGAAUAACUUUUCUGUCGGGACUAAGCUAUUUCAAGAUUCUUACGAAUUUUCUGAACUUUUUCCUCAGCUUCGAUGACUAGAUCUGGUCCCAAAUGUGCUCUUUCUCCUGGUUCCGACCAAUUUAAAGGUGUUCUAUACCUGUGGCCAUAUAAUGCUUCAUAGGGUGCCAUUUGUAUACUAGCUUGGUAGCUAUUGUUGUAGGAGAAUUCUGCUAGAGGCAAACAUUCAUCCCAUUUCUUCGAGAAGGUAAGAGCACAGGCUCGAAGCAUAGCUUCUAAGAUUUGAUUUACCCUUUCUGUCUGACCAUCGGUGUGUGGAUGGUAAGCGGAACUCCUAAUAAGGGUAGUUCCCAUUGUUUCUUGCAAUUGUUCCCAAAAUCUAGAGACAAAUUGGGAACCUCGAUCAGAGAUAAUUGUCUUGGGUAUUCCAUGUAAAGAUACCACUCGAGACAUAUAGAGUUCCACAUAAGCUGGCAUACGGUAAGUGGUCUUGAUAGGAAUGAAAUGAGCCAACUUAGUGAGUCGAUCCACAAUAACCCAUAUGGAAUCAUACCCCUUUGAGGUAGUAGGCAAUCCUACUAUAAAAUCCAUGGAAAUGUCUUCCCACUUCCAUUUAGGAAUGGUUAAGGGUUGCAAUAAGCCAGCUGAUUUCUGAUGGGUGGCUCUUACCCUUUGGCAUGUAUCACAUUCAGAUACAUAUUUGGUUAUUUCCCCCUUCAUUCUUGUCCACCAAAAUCAUUGCUUUAGGUCUUGCUACAUCUUAGUACUUCCAGGGUGGAUAGAGAAUCUUGUCAAAUGAGCUUCAUCUAGGAUCUUCUUUCUCAAGCCCAUCUUCUUGGGUACUACUAUUUGGUUUUUAAAAUAGAGCACCCCUUUUUCAUCCUGGGUAAAACAAGUAACAUCACCUUAACUUACUCGUCCUCGAUGUAUUCUUAUUCCUUUGUUCUUCUUCUGAGCUUGUUCUAUCUCCUCCUUUAAGGUAUCAUGCAAGAUAAAAUGGUGCAGGGUGCCUUGCAUUACCAUCCCAAAUUCAGAUCUUCCAACUCUUCACUCAACGUUUUUAACAUUUGGUUGAAUCGUAAUGCAGUGGCAUUGAGCUUAUCUGCUCUGGGUAUCAGCUACUAUAUUAGCUUUACCCAGAUGAAAGUGAAUCUCCAGCUUAUGGUCUUUGAUCAGUUCUAGUCAUCUCGUGCCCCAUAUUCAGAUCUGACUGGAUCACAACAACAAAUUCCAACUCAUGGGAAGGAUAAUGUUCUUCAUGACACUUCAAUUGUCGUGCAGCAUAAGCAAUGACUUUUCCUUCUUGCAUAAGAACACAUUCUAGCCCAGUUCCUAAGACGUCAGAAUAAAUAUCAAAGGAUUUUUCUAAAUUGGGUUGGGGUAACACGGGUGCUAUAGUUAAUAGCUUUUUCAACAACUGAAAGGAUUCUUCACAUUCGAAAGUCCAUUCUAGUAUACCCUUAUUUUUCCCUGGAUCAACUUCAAUGCCUUUUAUCUGAGAACAUGUCCAAGGAAUGGAACCUUCUUUAGCCAAAACUCAUACUUACUAAGCUUGGCAUAUAGUUGGUACUACCGGAAUCUACCCAAAACAAUACGCAAAUGCCCCGCAUGUUCUCCUUCGUUUUUUCCCAUCAAAGCUUGUGUUUCGAAUCUUAAUACAUCUUAUUGUUUUGAGGAUGUAUAGAAAACCUGGAUAUAUGUGCUUCCUCUUCAAGGACUCUUCCCUUUUAAGGGAUUUGCCUAAAGCUCUCAUCCUUUCUUGCGAUUACCAUGCUCACAGCAGAGCUAUAAUCUGCAAAAAUACUUGGGAACAAUCCCUUUUCUCAGACUCAGUGCUCAUAUACUCAGGAGCAUAUUGGGCCAGAUGGUCAAAUGCAUUUAUAUACUCCCGAACAUUCUUGUGCCUCUGCUAAACUUCAGAAGUUGCUCCAGCUGCACUCUCAUAAUCCCUUUUAACACAAACUGGGCACAAAUAAUUGUCUUGAGAUCAUCCCAAGCUAUCUCCUUUCCGACGGGUCGCCUAGCCAGAUAGCUGGUCCACCAUGUGCCUGCAGGACCUUGGAUUUAAAGUCCUGCAAACUCAAUCUUUUGAGUUUCUGUACAUCGAGGAAUCACACAUUUGUCCACAACUGUUUGGGACUGCGUGCAAUUCUGCAACAAUUUGUCUCAUGUUCAUACAGUGAUUAGGGCCUGACAUAUGCAGGAAAGUACCACUCUUAGCAGCCUUAAGAAGCAUGAGUAGACUGUGUUAUCUUCUUCCAAAUCUGCUCCAGAAAACUCAUGGCAUUCUUCUUGGAGUUGAGCAUCAAGGAUAUGAAGUAUCUGGUCUGGGAAAUUCUUCUUGAUAAAGGUUAAUAAUGCUUACUCCAUUGCAGAACACGGGAUCUGUUGGCCUUUUCCCUGUUGGUGUCUCUGCCAGCUUUAUACACAUCUCCUCAGAGCUUUAUACUCUGACAUGAACUUCCAUCAGCGCCUUACAUGUUCAUGUCAAAACCUUCACAGCCAACAACCAUGUUUACUUGGAUUGGCUUUCCUCUGUAAAUUGAACCAUAGCUUCUCUUCCUAAUCAAAGACUCUGUGAAAUUCUCAGUGGCCUGAACUCGAUCCUUGUAGAAAACUUUACAGAAGUUCUCACUAGAAGAAACCAACGGUGAUUGCAUUAUGAAGGACUUUUUCCAUUGAAGUAUAAGGAUUAAUGAUAAUAUGAAUAGUGCCACGAAACUAAAAAUGGAGAUACAUAUUUUAACCCAAAAUUUUAAUCUUGUUGUAUGCAAAGAAACAACAGCGCAUGCAGGCAUAUGCAGCUCAAAUACUCCAUCGCAGAGACCCUAAUUGCCAUUGAGUGUAACAGCUGUAACCUUUUUGAACACUCGACACUUUUCCCAUGAGAUAAUUGUAAGACAAAUCUAGCUGAUUGAUAACUUGUAGCUUGCAUAGAGCAGCUAGGAUAGUACCCAUCAAGUUGUUAUGCGAAAUGUUGAGGAUGGUGUCUCCAAAAAGUUGGUGUCGUUGACACUGCUCCGACUCUUGACAACCAUGCUGAUGCCUUGUAUUCUGAAUGAUCCUAUUCAGUAGUCUAGCCUGCUCAGCUCUUGAAUUCAUAAGACUGGCGAUAGCAUCAGCCAAGGUAGGAGUUUGUGGUGGCUCUGCAUCACGGGCUCCUGACCCGGAUAAAAUGUGUCUUCUUGGGUCCGACAUUCUGGGGUCAUAAAAAUCCAACAGAUCGAAACUCAUUAAACUUCCUCUUGUUCCUUAAUAUCAUUAUUCUCUGCAUCUCGCAAACCUUGGGUAUGUGUUUCUCAGAAUCAACUCCCUCAACAUUGUCCUUAGCUAAAUAAUUGAUUGGGCUCCAUAUGACUCUUUCUAAAUUCUCUUCCAUUUCCACACCAAGGCUAUCCAGAUUCUAAUAAACAUGCAGAUCUACCUCUUAAGCUCCCAGUUCAAUUAUACCCAUAUUGUUACCCACAAUAUCCUUCUUUCCUUUCACUGCUACCGGGGUGAGUGGAUUUACCUUCCUGAAGGUAGGAUAGUUACUUAAUUUUUGUGCCAGCAAUUUGAGCCUGCAUCUCUUGUAUUAUGAAUCGGAGAGAAAAGAUUUCAUCUUGUUGCUUUGAUUUCUUGACUUCCAAUCGACUUACCUUGGCUUCCAUGGUUUUUCGAUAUAUCUCCAAGGCAUUAAGAUCGAUGGAUUCCUGGGCUUCCGUCAAUUGGCCUUACAUUCAUCCAAUUUCUUUAACUGCUUUUUCAUAACUUUCUCCAUAUUACGCUCCUGUGCAAGAGCUGCCUUCUUACUUACAUCAAAAUCAUAUGGAGUAUCAUUUUCCCUCAACCUUGAACCUUCAUUCCUUUUUCUCUAAUUAUAUUACUUGGACGGGCAUACUUGAUGAAGAGUAUACAUUGAAGUCUUUUAAUCUCAUGAAGUGACUACGAUAACAUCGUGCUCUAUUUGAGAAAAAUCCUUCAAACCUUUAUGCAACGCUUCCAAUACUAUGAUCCUGAUUUCUGAUCCGAUAAUUCUUGCUAGACUGGAUCCAAAAUAUUUCCUAUUCUCCUCACACUAGACAGUCUAAGUUGUCUUAAUUGCUUACUCAACUAAGAUUUUGUAUCCAUCCAUCUGUCUUGAUCUUUUCUUCUGCGGUUCUCUGUUGCAUCGACCCUUACUACGUCUAGCUUCUAUCGCACGGAACGGGUUUAGAUCUAACGGCACACUCCAAACCCAAAAAUUUUAAAAUAUGAAAUGCAAUUAUGAUGCAAAGAUUCCUACGUACUUUCAGAUUCAUAUACACACUCAUAGGAAAAUUGGUGGCAUCGUAACCUCUCCCUAAUAAAUACUACCGAAUAUUAGCGACACGUAGCAAACAGUUAGCAUCUGCAAAACAAACAACCAAUUAACACUACUGCCACCUAUGACUCACAUUUUAUUCGUUUAAAAUAGAGUCUCAGAUUUUAAAUAGUAAUAUCUGUUGAUUAUCCCAACCUAUGGCUCUGAUACUAGCUGUGGCGGAACCGCCCAACUUAAACUGGUUUAAAUGCGCCUAAUCGCUGUCGGAACAACAAUUAUCCAAAACGCACUUAAAAUAGUAUAAGUCCGGUAGUCCGUCGAGUGUCCCUAGGACUCCUCGAAAGAUCCACGACGUGACUCAUAGCCAUACACCUGGAUCGCUUCCUCGAUGGGAAGGCAUCAACAAACAUUACAUUUUUACAUACAUACCAGGGUACGAAUUAUUACAGACCAUAGUUUGAAACAAACUUAAUAGUGCAGGUUAGAGCGGUUCUAAGAGUUUAAAACAUAAAUCGAUCCAGGUGAAAGAUAAACAUCUAAGUUUUAUUUCUAGGGUAUUAUGAGACUCGUAAAAAAACCCUAGUUCUUCGGGGCUUCCUCCUCAGCAGACUCCUGCUGUGGCUCUGAAAUAGCAACAGGGAAGAACCCUGAGUACAGGGUACUCAGCAAGACUAACCUGACUAACCAAUAUAAUAGCUUUUCUGGAACUGCAUGAAAGCUGUUUAGUGUACUGGCUGACUCACAUUUUGCCAAAAGAGCUUACUAAAAGUGAAACCUCAACUUUGUCUUUUAAUUCAAUUGAGUUAUUACCUAACCUAAGCAUUUUUUUCAAUACCUUAAACAAAAAGGCAUUAAAUAAAUACCUAAAAUUUUAUUAUUUUUUCUAGGGUUUAAGAAUUUUAAUGCAUAAAGGAAAAUACAAUAAUCCUAAUAAAAUUGGUUUCACUAAUUUUGGACAUUUCUAGCAUUUGUAAUGAAUUAAACAGUGCUAAACGAAUUUAAGCUAUUAUAACAGUUAAAAGGAAAACCUAGGAUUAUCAAAAACCCCGGCUCAAAACUUUUCUUACCCAGCCCCCUUCUACCCACCACUACUUCCAGCUAGGGCCCACAAACUGAUCUCUUUACAGGCAAAAAGGUCCACCCGGCCUCCUACUCUCCUCCCC
rnacentral:lncRNA from 1 species